UUCAGCAACGGAUCUCUUGGCUCUCCCAUCGAUGAAGAACGCAGCGAAAUGCGAUAAGUAAUGUGAAUUGCAGAAUUCAGUGAAUCAUCGAAUCUUUGAACGCACCUUGCGCCCUUUGGUAUUCCGAAGGGCAUGCCUGUUUGAGUGUCAUUAUAUUC
rnacentral:rRNA from 4 species